rnacentral:misc_RNA from 1 species
GUUUUAGAAACAUCAGUGGCCAACAGAUCGCCAGAUCGUUGAGCUGCAUUGGCGGGAUUUCGCCGUCUACGUUUCUCUUUCUUCGCGGACGAACACGCGCCGGGGCUGCGCUGUGCGAUUGCAUCUGCGCUUGUCGCGGUUGCUUGCACGCAAGACCCUAGUCCUGAUGAGGAUAGCGUUAGGGGCUUGUAGCUCAGUUGGUUAGAGCGCGCGCUUGAUAAGCGUGAGGUCGGAAGUUCAAGUCUUCCCAGGCCCACCACUUUCAUCGAGCGAGCAUUCGUCUUCUGGUUACGGGGCCAUAGCUCAGCUGGGAGAGCGCGUGCUUUGCAAGCAUGAGGUCGUCGGUUCGAUCCCGUCUGGCUCCACCAGAUGGCUUGAUCACCGAGAUCUUGUACCGUCGUCCGCGAAACAUCACUUCGCAUUCACUAGUCUGGAUAGACAGUGAACUGCGUGUUUUCUGACAUCGUAAAGAGGAGAUCGAUCCGAGUUGGGUCGUGCAGCAUAUCGUUGCGCGAGCCUUCAUUAUCUCCGGAUCAUUUUCGGCGCUCGACGCUGACCGCAAGGUUGGCUGCGAGUUGUAAAAUGAUCCUUUUAGCGAAGCUUGACCGCCUCGCUAUCGGAACGAUCUUACGAAGCAAGCUGGUCUUUCUAGUCAAUGUCCGGCUGUACGUAGCAUUCAUCGAGGGUGCGCGCCGCGAGGCAAUCGUACAGACAACAUUCUGCCGAGUGUGUGGACAUUGAUAAUGAGAGCAAUCAAGUGCCUUAAGGGUGUUCGGUGGAUGCCUUGGCGCUGAGAGGCGAUGAAGGACGUGCUACGCUGCGAUAA